rnacentral:rRNA from 1 species
CCGAUGGCGACCGGCGCACGGGUGAGUAACACGUAUCCAACCUGCCGAUAACUCGGGGAUAGCCUUUCGAAAGAAAGAUUAAUGUCCGAUAGGAUAUCAAGAUCGCAUGAUCUUGAUAUUAAAGAAUUUCGGUUAUCGAUGGGGAUGCGUUCCAUUAGUUAGUUGGCGGGGUAACGGCCCACCAAGACGACGAUGGAUAGGGGUUCUGAGAGGAAGGUCCCCCACAUUGGAACUGAGACACGGUCCAAACUCCUACGGAAGGCAGCAG